GACGAACGCUGGCGGCGUGCUUAACACAUGCAAGUCGAACGAGACGAUUGAAAGCUUGCUUUCGAAAGUCGAGUGGCAAACGGGUGAGUAACGCGUAGACAACCUGCCUUUGAGAUGGGGACAACAGUUCGAAAGGACUGCUAAUACCGAAUGUUGUAUAUUUUCCACAUGGAAGAUAUAUUAAAGAUGGCCUCUAUUUAUAAACUAUCGCUCAAAGAUGGGUCUGCGUCUGAUUAGCUGGUUGGUGGGGUAACGGCCUACCAAGGCGACGAUCAGUAGCCGGGCUGAGAGGAUGGACGGCCACAUUGGGACUGAGACACGGCCCAGACUCCUACGGGAGGCAGCAGUGGGGAAUCUUCCACAAUGGACGAAAGUCUGAUGUAGCAACGCCGCGUGAGUGAAGAAGGGUUUCGGCUCGUAAAGCUCUGUUGUCGGGGACGAAUGUGCAGUAUUUGAAUAAAGUACUGCAAUGACGGUACCUGACGAGGAAGCCACGGCUAACUACGUGCCAGCAGCCGCAGUAA
rnacentral:rRNA from 1 species